rnacentral:rRNA from 1 species
UACGGAGGGUGCAAGCGUUAUCCGGAUUCACUGGGUUUAAAGGGUGCGUAGGUGGGUUGGUAAGUCAGUUGUGAAAUCUCCGUGCUUAACAUGGAAGUUGCCAUUGAUACUACUGGUCUUGAAUUUUCUGGAGGUAAGCGGAAUAUGUCAUGUAGCGGUGAAAUGCUUAGAUAUGACAUAGAACACCGAUUGCGAAGGCAGCUUACUACAGGGAUAUUGACACUGAGGCACGAAAGCGUGGGGAUCAAACAGG